GAACACUUUCUAGCAAAGAUAGGCCAACUGCAAAGGAAGCAACAGUAAUCUACAGGGUUACAGACAGCUUAGGUCUUACACCUGAAGAGAAUGAACUGAAGAUUGGGAACAGGCCUGAAUGUUAUAGAAGGGAGUCUGAGAAGGGAAGCCAUUAGGCUACCUGAGCUAAAAGACCUGUGCCCCACAUUUACUUGGGAACGUCUUUCCAAGCCUUCAGAGAAGUGCUGGUCGGGGAUAAUUGAAGGAAGUAGCAAGAAGGAAAUGAUCUGGUGUGCUAUAAGGAUGGUUGUCAUUCAGGUAAGUUAUGUUUUAUGUAUGAGCAAUAGACUAAAUGAUUUAAGACUCCAGAAAAAAAGCAUGAGUGUUAGAUGUUUUCAAGUCUCCUGACAUGUAAAUUGAGAAGUAGUAGUAGUAUAGGAGAAAAUAAAACUUCAUCCUAUGACAAUGUAUUUUUAAAUGGUACUACGUGAAUUUAUAAAGAUUAUAGAGCCCCCUCGCACUAGAGUGGCCAUGCAGGUCUUGCAGACGUGGAAAAGCUGUGAUGUCUGAAUAUGGGUCUCCAAGCCUCGGCAAGAUAGACACCACAGCCUCAUUUCUGUAGAUGCCAUUGCUAGUGUAUUUUGCCAGAUAUUAAAGAGGAAAACCUCCUGGAGUGAGAACUGUACUUCCUACUGUCUCCUUAUAAACUGGCACUUAGAAACACCAUGUAUAAGGGCUGGGGCAGGGGCUCAGUGGUAGAGUACUUGCCUAGUAUGCCUAAGGCCCAGAACUGUAAAAAAGGAAAAUUGGUUGUAGAAGUCUGGAAACUGGGAGCCUCCAAAACCAGUUCUAGGGGAAGAAGUUUUUGACACUGAGUUUUCUACUUGAGGACCUUUGAAUGAUGGAAUGACGUGCCUCAUUUGGGAGCCCUGUGGGAGUAGCAUAUGCUUCUAGGAAGGUGAUCUUCUAGAGUCCUUUUUUAUCCUUAAUAGUGAAGUUGUAGGGAGGUGAGGAUGGUGCAGAGCGACCUUUCUCUCCAUCAUGUUGAUUUGUAGGACCAACUAGAGGUGAAGUGGAAAGGCCAUUGUCCAAUGUGGAGGUCUAGAUAGCUAGUAAGUAAGUAGCUCAUACACAUGCCCUAGUCUGAGAAAGCUACUCUUCCAGCAGUUGGUCUCAUGGUAGAUUCUGCCAUUGUUGGCCAUGGUGUUCUUACAAAAUCAUAGGCCUUAGGGCAGGGGACUAAUACUUAACAGCUGGACUUUUUCUGUUGUUUUGAGCAUGUAUGUACACUAGGGGCUUGUGGUGUUAGAACUAGUUUUUGACAUCCCUUUAGUAAAAUCACAGUUAAUCCCAAAUGCAGAGUCUUCAGAGGAUGGCACAUCUGAUUGAUAUAUUUUGCAGCCCCCAUCUCUCCCCUUGGGACCGUGUACCCCAGAGUUCCUGUUGAUACUUGAACUACCCCCGCUCCCAUCCCUAUGGGCUGAAGAUAUCCAGCCUGAGACCAAGUCCUAGAGAGAAAGGCCUGAGGGGGAGGACAGAGAUAGCUAUUCUAAGCAAGUUUGAGAGAGCGGCAGUGACCAAGUGUGCUUCCUAGAGGUUGAAAGCAAGUGAAAGCCAGGCCACUUCCUGGAAACUGGGUUGGUCUCUAGAAUCAGGUGCUGAGAGAAAAGCAGUCCUAACUAACAGGAACCUGAGAAUGCCAGCAUGAGGCACACGGAUGGGAGGGCUACAGGCACCUCUGGGCUGCACUAAGCAGCCCUCGCUUUGUAGAGCAGAGAAGUGUGUUCCAGAGCUGAGCAGGAGGCAGGCUCAAUUUGGAAGCCAUUGUUGCUCUUUCCAGUUGAGCAGUGGGCGGCUAAACUAACUUAAGACCUGUAACAACAAUCAGGCCAAUAUGUGGGACUCUGUUUUACUUCAGCUACUUUGUAAAUCUUCCUGAUGGGAGAAAACAUCACUACAGGACAGGAUUCAAUGGUUCCACUGAGCUCAAAUUCUGAGACAAGUUAAUGAUGGAGAAAAUCUGCUAAUUCCACUGUGACUAGAAAGACAGUUGUGUGUGUGUGUGUGUGUGUGUACAUGUGAUUACAUCUGCUAUGUGUAUGCAGUGUUCUCAUUUCAACUGGCAAAUACAUUUGCUUCCAAUUUCUCUCACACAAUGUAGAUAAAAAGUUUAAUUAUUAGCUGGUAACAUCUCCAGCUACUACAUUAAGAAAAAUAAUGUACACCAGUGUACAUGAUUCAAAAUUAUCCCAAUUUUGCACCCUUUGUAUAAGUUCUUCCUUGAUAAAAGAGAUUAGUUAGUCCUGGUUACUAACUACUUCCCUGGGCUGAAGAAACAUGCUCAGAUGUCCUAUGGUUAUAGGCAGAGCCAAAAUGUCAUUUUUUUAGUAGACCCUGGACCAAAAAACCCCACGCAGUUUUCUAAAAAAAUGUGUGUGUGUGUGUGUGUAUAAACAAUUUAAGGGAAAAUUCAUUUAUUUGCCAUUUCUUAUCUGCCAUGGGUCUUGUUUACCACUCGUUUCUUUGCAUGUGUCCACUUAGCCCAUGAGGAAGUAUGCCCAAAGGGGGUUAGUGUGCAGAGCCCAGCUCUGGAACUUCAAACCUGGGCCUUUCCCACUGAGCCACCUUCAUUCCUACUAUAAGAAAGAGUCCAAAUUACCCUUCAGAGAAAAGGACGCUUGUACGUUAUAACAAAUACAGACAGAAAAGAGUCUGACAAAUAAUGUUUAAAAAAAUAUUUUGUAGUGUGCAGUUAUUAAAGCACAGCCCAUUGUCAAUAAAGAUGUAUUAGUACAUUUAUUUUUUUAGUACUGAUUUAUUAUGACCUUUAACACUAUUGAUGAACAUCAUUAGCAUAAUUUCUUUAAUAAAGGGAAGUAAACAGCUGGUUUUCACUUGAAUUCUUCAGCUAAAUUAUUUCAUUAUUAUGCAUAAAAUUUCUAUUUAGGUUGAUUCAUGCCAAGAAUGUUCAUUUUAAAUAUCUACUCUUGAUGUGUCCUUUCCUCCCCCAUUCUCCCUGAUCUACUCCUGGCUAUGGAGUAAGAUAAUGCAAGUUUUCCCACGAGAGAGUUAUAUAAGUUUAGAAUAGCAGCUUUUGGAAUGAUAGAAAAGAAAACUCAAUGAUCUUAUUUUUUAAAUGGCAUGUAGAAUCACAUCCUUCUAUUCAUAUUAAAAUGCUUACCUGCAGUCAAAUUUUAUAAUUUUUAUUCAGAAGCAUUUAAAAUUUUCAUGUGUGUAUAGGUUUCACAGGGCAGCACCUAAAACUCCCUCAGCUUUCAUGUGUGGAAGAGAACAGCAG
rnacentral:lncRNA from 1 species